CUGCAGCCCGGCUUGAGUGAAGCUCAUUUUUUUUGCGGUGGCAAUAGGAAGGGAAAAAAAUAGCGGGAACGGAAGACGGAUGAAGC
rnacentral:misc_RNA from 1 species